UGGGGAAUUUUGGACAAUGGGCGCAAGCCUGAUCCAGCCAUGCCGCGUGCGUGAAUAAUGCCUUCGGGUUGUAAACCGCUUUUGUCAGUGAAGAAAUCCUUUGAGCUAAUACCUCGGGGGGAUGACAGUACCUGAAGAAUAAGCACCUGCUAACUACGUGCCAGCAGCCGCGGUAAUACGUAGGGUGCAAGCGUUAAUCGGAAUUACUGGGCGUAAAGCGUGCGCAGGCGGUUAUGCAAGACAGAUGUGAAAUCCCCGGGCUCAACCUGGGAACUGCAUUUGAUACUGCAUAGCUGGAGUACGGCAGAGGGGGAUGGAAUUCCGCGUGUAGCAGUGAAAUGCGUAGAUAUGAGGAGGAACACCGAUGGCGAAGGCAAUCCCCUGGGCAUGAACUGACGCUCAUGAACGAAAGCGUGGGGAGCAAACA
rnacentral:rRNA from 1 species